CAGUAUAUGGCUUAAAUAGGUGGAGCAUGGUCUUGAUAAGGCCAAGGUUGUGGGUUCAAUUCCCACUUUAUUGA
rnacentral:tRNA from 1 species